rnacentral:lncRNA from 1 species
CGGUUUCUCUUCUUUCCUCGACGGCUCAUCCGUCCUCCCGUUCCUCCAACAAUCAUGUUGAUGGUCCCACUGGACCCAUCAUUCACUGGUCCAGCUCCUAUUCUCCUAGGCGUCUGAGUUGUCGGACCAGGCUGAGGCCUCUGUCCCUCUGGUUUCUUCACAAAAUUUUUGAGGUGCCCCCUUUUUAUCAGCCUCUCAAUCUCCGCGAUUAACUGAAAACAGUUAUUCGUAUCGUGCCCAUGGCUCCGGUGGUACUGACAAUACUUGUCAGGAUUUCUUUGAUCUGCUUCCGACUUCAUGG